rnacentral:rRNA from 1 species
GACCAGACUCCUACGGGAGGCAGCAGUGGGGAAUAUUGCACAAUGGGGGAAACCCUGAUGCAGCGACGCCGCGUGAGCGAUGAAGUAUUUCGGUAUGUAAAGCUCUCUCAGCAGGGAAGAAGAUGACGGUACCUGACUAAGAAGCCCCGGCUAACUACGUGCCAGCAGCCGCGGUAAUACGUAGGGGGCAAGCGUUAUCCGGAUUUACUGGGUGUAAAGGGAGCGUAGACGGCGAUGCAAGCCAGAUGUGAAAGCCCGGGGCUCAACCCCGGGACUGCAUUUGGAACUGUGUGGCUGGAGUGUCGGAGAGGCAGGCGGAAUUCCUAGUGUAGCGGUGAAAUGCGUAGAUAUUAGGAGGAACACCAGUGGCGAAGGCGGCCUGCUGGACGAUGACUGACGUUGAGGCUCGAAAGCGUGGGGAGCAAACAGGAUUAGAUACCCUGGUA